GACAGAGGAGCCAAGCGUUGUCCGGAUUGACUGGGCGUAAAGCGCACGCAGGCGGCCCGGCGCGUGGGGUGUGAAAGCUGGCGGCUUAACUGCCAGAUGCCAUCCCAUACGGCUGGGCUCGAGCCCUGCAGAGGUCCAUGGAAUUGCCGGUGUAGUGGUGAAAUGCGUAGAGAUCGGCAGGAACACCCAGGGGAAACCAGUGGACUGGGCAGG
rnacentral:rRNA from 1 species